GAUUGCUCCGCCCGUUUGUAAGAAAUUAGCCAUUUGAAGUAAAUUUGGAAUGAUGUCCAAGUGGCUAUCAAGGCUAUUGGAGCAUUUAAAGCCAACUGCAGUUGCUGAUGCAGGUUUGAUUUUCAAUGUGAAAAGUAAAAUGCUGUGACCACAUGACACUUCUUAAAGCUUUUGAAGGAUAGAAGGAUGCAAACCGUAAUGAAAAGAAUCCUGUCACCUUGCAAAUGACAGAGGAUAUGAGAAUGCAAUUUGUAGAUCUAUUUAGCAUUGGCUUUGUAAACAAAUUGAUGAAUGCUAAUGUAAGUUCUUUAAGAUUUUCAAAUUUUAAAGCAUUUGAUUUGUUGAAA